rnacentral:rRNA from 1 species
AUUGAACGCUGGCGGCAGGCCUAACACAUGCAAGUCGAGCGGAUGAAGGGAGCUUGCUCCUGGAUUCAGCGGCGGACGGGUGAGUAAUGCCUAGGAAUCUGCCUGGUAGUGGGGGAUAACGUCCGGAAACGGGCGCUAAUACCGCAUACGUCCUGAGGGAGAAAGUGGGGGAUCUUCGGACCUCACGCUAUCAGAUGAGCCUAGGUCGGAUUAGCUAGUUGGUGGGGUAAAGGCCUACCAAGGCGACGAUCCGUAACUGGUCUGAGAGGAUGAUCAGUCACACUGGAACUGAGACACGGUCCAGACUCCUACGGGAGGCAGCAGUGGGGAAUAUUGGACAAUGGGCGAAAGCCUGAUCCAGCCAUGCCGCGUGUGUGAAGAAGGUCUUCGGAUUGUAAAGCGCUUUAAGUUGGGAGGAAGGGCAGUAAGUUAAUACCUUGCUGUUUUGACGUUACCAACAGAAUAAGCACCGGCUAAUUUCGUG